AGCGGACGCUGGCGGCAGGCUUAACACAUGCAAGUCGAGCGGGCCCUUCGGGGUCAGCGGCAGACGGGUGAGUAACGCGUGGGAACGUACCCUUUGGUUCGGAAUAACCCAGGGAAACUUGAGCUAAUACCGGAUACGCCCUUUUUGGGGAAAGGCUUGCCGCCGAAGGGUCGGCCCGCGUCUGAUUAGCUGGUUGGUGGGGUGAUGGCUCACCAAGGCGACGAUCAGUAGCUGGUCUGAGAGGAUGAUCAGCCACACUGGGACUGAGACACGGCCCAAACUCCUACGGGAGGCAGCAGUGGGGAAUAUUGGACAAUGGGGGCAACCCUGAUCCAGCCAUGCCGCGUGAGUGAUGACGGCCUUAGGGUUGUAAAGCUCUUUUCUCCGGGACGAUAAUGACGGUACCGGAGGAAUAAGCCCCGGCUAACUCCGUGCCAGCCGCCGCCGUAA
rnacentral:rRNA from 1 species